rnacentral:rRNA from 1 species
AUUGAACGCUGGCGGCAUGCUUUACACAUGCAAGUCGAACGGUAACAGGGUGCUUGCACCGCUGACGAGUGGCGAACGGGUGAGUAAUGCGUCGGAACGUGCCGAGUAGUGGGGGAUAACGCAGCGAAAGUUGUGCUAAUACCGCAUACGUACUGAGGUAGAAAGUGGGGGACCUUCGGGCCUCACGCUAUUCGAGCGGCCGACGUCUGAUUAGCUAGUAGGUGAGGUAAAGGCUCACCUAGGCGACGAUCAGUAGCGGGUCUGAGAGGAUGCUCCGCAACAGUGGGACUGAGGCACGGCCCGGACUCCUACGGGAGGCAGCAGUGGGGAAUUGUGGACAAUGGGCGAAAGCCUGAUCCAGCCAUGCCGCGUGUCUGAAGAAGGCCUUCGGGUUGUAAAGGACUUUUGUCAGGGAGGAAAUCCCUAGCGUUAAUACCGCUGGGGGAUGACAGUACCUGAAGAAUAAGCACCGGCUAACUACGUGCCAGCCGCCGCAGUAACAC